UACGUAGGGGGCUAGCGUUGUCCGGAUUUAUUGGGCGUAAAGAGCGUGUAGGCGGCCAGGUAGGUCUGCUGUGAAAACUCGAGGCUCAACCUCGAGACGUCGGCGGAAACCAUCUGGCUAGAGUCCGGAAGAGGAGCGUGGAAUUCCUGGUGUAGCGGUGAAAUGCGCAGAUAUCGGGAAGAACACCCGUGGCGAAGGCGGCUCUCUGGGACGGUACUGACGCUGAGACGCGAAAGCGUGGGGAGCGAACAGG
rnacentral:rRNA from 1 species